rnacentral:rRNA from 1 species
AUACGUAGGGGGCGAGCGUUGUCCGGAAUUACUGGGCGUAAAGGGCGCGUAGGCGGCUUUGUAAGUCCGUAGUGAAAUCGCUGGGCUCAACCCAGCAAGUGCUAUGGAAACUGUGAGGCUAGAGGAUGUCAGAGGCAAGCGGAAUUCCCGGUGUAGCGGUAAAAUGCACAGAGAUCGGGAGGAACACCAGUGGCGAGGGCGGCUGGCUGGGGCAUAACUGACGCUGAUGCGCGAAAGCGUGGGGAGCAAACAGGAUUAGAUACCCUGGUAGUCCACGCUGUAAACGAUGGAUACUAGGUGUAGGUGGUAUCGACCCCAUCUGUGCCGGAGCGAACGCAAUAAGUAUCCCGCCUGAGGAGUACGGCCGCAAGGUUGAAACUCAAAUGAAUUGACGGGG